GGGGAUUAGCUCAGUUGGUAGAGCGCGUGCUUAGCAUGCACGAGGUCGUGAGUUCGAUUCUCACAUUCUCC
rnacentral:ncRNA from 16 species